UGGGGAAUAUUGCACAAUGGGCGCAAGCCUGAUGCAGCCAUGCCGCGUGUGUGAAGAAGGCCUUCGGGUUGUAAAGCACUUUCAGCGAGGAGGAAGGUGGUGAGCUUAAUACGCUCAUCAAUUGACGUUACUCGCAGAAGAAGCACCGGCUAACUCCGUGCCAGCAGCCGCGGUAAUACGGAGGGUGCAAGCGUUAAUCGGAAUUACUGGGCGUAAAGCGCACGCAGGCGGUUUGUUAAGUCAGAUGUGAAAUCCCCGGGCUCAACCUGGGAACUGCAUUUGAAACUGGCAAGCUAGAGUCUCGUAGAGGGGGGUAGAAUUCCAGGUGUAGCGGUGAAAUGCGUAAAGAUCUGGAGGAAUACCGGUGGCGAAGGCGGCCCCCCUGGACGAAGACUGACGCUCAGGUGCGAAAGCGUGGGGAGCAAACAGAUUAGAUACCCUGGUAGUCACGCUGUAAACGAUGUCGAUUUUGGAGGUUGUGCCCUUGAGGCGUGGCUUCCGGAGCUAACGCGUUAAAUCGACCGCCUGGGGAGU
rnacentral:rRNA from 1 species